rnacentral:rRNA from 1 species
CGCGAGUAAAGUGGCGACCGGGCUGAGUAACACGUGACUAACCUACCCUCGAGCGGGGGAUACCCCGGGAAACCGGGGCUAAUACCGCAUAACAUCCUCGACACGAAAGUAUUGAGGAUCAAAGGAGCAAUUCACUUGAGGAGGGGGUCGCGGCCGAUUAGCUAGUUGGCGGGGUAACGGCCCACCAAGGCUGAGAUCGGUAGCCGGCCUGAGAGGGCGCACGGCCACACUGGAACUGAAACACGGUCCAUACUCCUACGGGAGGCAGCAGUGGGGAAUUUUGCGCAAUGGGGGGAACCCUGACGCAGCAACGCCGCGUGGAGGAUGAAGUCCCUUGGGACGUAAACUCCUUUCGACCGGGAAGAUAAUGACGGUACCGGAAGAAGAAGCACCGGCUAACUCUGUGCCAGCAGCCGCGGUAAU